rnacentral:rRNA from 1 species
GACGAACGCUGGCGGCGUGCUUAACACAUGCAAGUCGAACGGUGAAGGGACCGGUUUUUGCUGGUUCUGGAUGAGUGGCGAACGGGUGAGUAACACGUGAGUAACCUGCCCCCUUCUUCUGGAUAACCGCAUGAAAGUGUGGCUAAUACGGGAUAUUCUGCGCCUGCUGCAUGGUGGGUGUGGGAAAGAUAUUGUUUCGGUGGGGGAUGGGCUCGCGGCCUAUCAGCUUGUUGGUGGGGUGAUGGCCUACCAAGGCGGUGACGGGUAGCCGGCCUGAGAGGGUGGACGGUCACACUGGGACUGAGACACGGCCCAGACUCCUACGGGAGGCAGCAGUGGGGGAUAUUGCACAGUGGGCGCAAGCCUGAUGCAGCGACGCCGCGUGAGGGAUGGAGGCCUUCGGGUUGUAAACCUCUUUCGCCAGUGAAGCAGGCCUGUCCCUUUUGUGGGUGGGUUGACGGUAGCUGGAUAAGAAGCGCCGGCUAACUACGUG